UACGUAGGGUCCGAGCGUUGUCCGGAUUUAUUGGGCGUAAAGAGCUCGUAGGCGGCUCGGUAAGUCGGAUGUGAAAACUCGGGGCUCAACCCCGAGACGCCAUCCGAUACUGCUGUGGCUUGAGUCUGGUAGGGGAGAACGGAAUUCCUGGUGUAGCGGUGAAAUGCGCAGAUAUCAGGAGGAACACCGGUGGCGAAGGCGGUUCUCUGGGCAUGAUCUGACGCUGAGGAGCGAAAGUGUGGGGAGCGAACAGG
rnacentral:rRNA from 1 species